rnacentral:lncRNA from 1 species
AUGGAUCUGGAACCGGCCGUGCUCAUUCCCGCGGUUCUUUUCACCUUCGUGGCUCUGGUUUUUGCUUCCUCGCUCCUCGGUAGGAAGACCGACUCCUCGUCCUCUUCAGGCGGGACCAAAAAGCCCAAAGUCGGCUACGGAGAUGAGGCUCCUCCGUCCAGAGCGCUGGGAGAACCGCUCCGGUCCCCGGGACCAGAGCCACCGGCUCCGGAGGAAAAGAACCGAGAGUCGGAGGCUGCUCCUGUGACCGCACCAGAACCCGUCUCAGUACAAGAACCAGAACCAGCACAGAAACCUAUUCCAGUACCAGAACCUGCUGCAGAACCAGAACCGCCACGGAAACCUAUUCCAGUACCAGAACCUGCUGCAGAACCAGAACCGCCACGGAAACCUAUUCCAGUACCAGAACCAGUACAAGAACCAGAACCUGCUGCAGAACUAGAACCGCCACGGAAACCUAUUCCAGUACCAGUACCAGAACAUGCUGCAAAACCAGAACCAGCACCGGAACAUGUGAUGGUACUCAAACCUGUUACAAAGCCAGCUAAUCCAGAUAAAGCACUAGAACCGGCUCCAGAACCAGUUAAAGGUCCAGAAAAUGUCCCUGAAAAAGUAAUUGCGCCAGAACCUGACCCUGAACCAGUUCCAGAACCAUCAUUGGAGCCAGCUGUAGAAUCUGUACCUGAACCUGUUCUAGAGUCGGAUCCGGUUGCUGAUCCAGAACCAGAAGUAAUGUCCGAACCAGUACCUGAAGUGGUUCAACAGCAUGUGACCGAACCAGAACCAGAGAACGCUGACGAUUCUGCACCUGGACCAGUUCCUGAAUCACCCAAACCUGCUGAAGAGGUGUCCAAAGAACCAGAACCAGAGGUCGUCCUGGCCGAUGUGGCUGCAGCUGGCGAGGAGCUGAUGAAACCCGCCCAGCUGGAGACGCUGUUGAUGAAGGAGGUGAAGGAGGAGCAGAGGAUUGAGUUGACCCCUGACUUCACCUGUCUCUAGUCCACCUGAGCAGCCUAUGCUGGAGGGACCUGGUAAGGUGUCACUUCUGUAACCUUUGACCCCAGACAGGACAGACUGAGACACAUGAGUUUGAGACUUCCUGUUGAAACAAAUAACAAUUUAACCAUUAACAGGAUGAUUUGGAGUUCAAAGGUCAAAGACCUGAACUAGAGCUGUUCCUCUAGUCCGAAUUCUAAUCAGGAUGAUGACUCGGUCUGUGUCUGCUGAUGAAGUCUGUCUGGGUCUGGGUCCAGCAGCAUGGCGCUGGUAGAAGGGGCAACGAUUGUUUGUUUACGUCCUGCUGCUUUGAUCCAGAUGGCUUCCCCUCAUCCUCUUAACCCCCCCACAGACCCCAGACCAGCUGGGUCUGAGGAGACUCUAUCCCUGAGGACUAAGACCUUCUUACUGGACUCCAGCUGGUUUUCUAAAAGCUCUGCAGAAUUAAAUUCAGGUCCAGAUUUUAAGAUCAAGAAUAAGGAGAACCCAACACGAGAGCCCAGAAACCUCUGGGUUCUGUGCAUCUGCUGGAGAACGAAGUUCUGGGGGUUUUAUCUUGUGAAGACUGGAUACAGCAGAAGUUCUGGAGGUUCUGAAAGUCUUCAGGUUGGGUUUGGACCUCUGUGGCUCUGCAGACAUCGGACUCAAGCUAACCGAACCAGCUGAUUCUGGUCCAGGAGCGCCCCCUACUGUCGGAACCAGACACUGUACUUUAACCGUUAGGGUCUUGGUUCUGACUGAGCUGACAAGGACUAACCUGGAGAGUCAGACACACUAACGCUAUCAGAGGUUUGCAGGUUCUGAAGGAAGUGACCCAGCAGGUGGUACAGAUGUUCAGAGGAACAGCUGGAUCAAUGAUGGCCAACUCCUCUGAUCAGCUGUUUGAUGUUUCCGGUUUGAUUUAGUGUCCUCUUCAUAUUAAAACCACCGCUUUGAUUCCAGAAUAAAGCUAAAACAGCAUUUGGAUCAGGGAAUUUCCUUCAUACUAAAGCAGGAUGAUGAUGCUGGAUUUUUAAUCUGGACUUUUAAAUAAAAUCUGGUUCCUCUCAUGUUCCUCUGGUUCCUCUCAUGUUCCUCUGGUUCGUCUGCCCGCCUCAGCUUUGUGUCUCCCUGCUAACCUGCACGCUAACAGACGGUGAGUUCAGUUUUACACCCAGCUGUUCCAGCUGCUCGCAGUCCAACCACCACCAUCGUGUCAGAUUAUUUUAAUCUGAUUACAGAUUAUUUUAAUCUGAUUACAGAUGUUUACCUUGAACUUUUAACCAGAACCAUGAGUUGGACAUGAACUUCUGGUUCUGAUGUGAUAAAAAUAAGUUCUGUU